UUUAGAGAGAAAAAGAACUUUCUCAUUAUUCUUUUGUUUACCUUUAAUCCUACUAAUGUAUACAAAUGAAGGGUGACCCGUGCACAAAGCAUCCGCACUUGUAGAGUCUAUAAAAUUUGAUAUAUGUAACCUUACUCUUGUUUUGCAAAAAGGCGAUUUCAAUGAAAUCAUAAUCUCUGAAUCACAAAUGGAGUAACUUAAUAAUUACACCAAAGCCACCUUCUUACUAAUAUACACAUAUAUGAAACAAUAUAUCUAACACAAUACUACAUUUCUUCCUCCUCAAUAUCAAAUGGGCACAAUGCAGAUGAAGAAAAAGAAGAAACAACAGAGGAAAAAGCAGUAGAAUCAGAGUAAGAGGCAGCUGCAAUUCCAACAAGCAGAUCAAUAAAUGCUCCAACUAUAAAUCCAUGAUUUUUCUUCCCGUUAACCUUCAAAUACCAUAGAAAUAACUCUUCUAAACAUUCCCAAUCUCUAAGUCCAUGAGACUCCACCAUCUCCUCCAUUGACUUCCUGAAAUCAAGAUAUGGAUCCUCAGACUCCAUGGCUAGAAGUACACUUUCCUUGAAAGGAAACCCACCAGGUUUUGCCGCUUCUAGUAUUGAAUUUGUGUGACCAGGCUCGAAGAAGAGUCUUUCUGAUCUCACUCCACGUACAACAGUCUCCAAGGACUCUCCAUAAAAAUCCUCAGAUUGAUCAGUUGACAAGCUUGCAGUCUCCGAGGAGUUUGUGAACAAAGAUUGAGGCGUUUCAACCCCAUAAAGAGGAUCAAAAUACACUGAGUUUACAGUCUUGAAAAUGUCAUCUUCAGCUCUGAAAGAAUGAGUCUUGGGGUGCUUGCAGGGAUGAUGAGCCCAUGCUGGCCAUGGAUGAAGAAGCUUUGUUUCUUUGGUUUUAAAGAGUGAAGGGAUCUUCAUCUUUUUUGUUGUUGAUGAAGAUCACAGAGCUUAAAUGGUGGUUUUGGAAUGUGGAAUGUGAACGUCUGUUAGCUUUGGCUGAUGGUAUAAAUGGUGAUCAGAGUGAGUUGCUGAUAAUAAA
rnacentral:misc_RNA from 1 species